ensembl:lncRNA
AAACGAUAUGCUUGAGUGCGUCCAAUGGUAUUAUGGCUUAUAAUGACGUCCAAGCCUGACCAUUGCCAUGUAGGGAAUCUCUCUACAUGACCUUAGGCCUCUGUUUAGCUUUUCUUUACAGUAUGGAGUGUUUUGCUUUUUGUGACAUUCAGGAAAAAACAUGCGUAACAUUGCUGCUCUUGGUGUUAAGGCAAGCACAUCUGUACAGUGUGCUAGGGUACAUCAUGUGCCCUGCCAGACGGACCCAUCAAAGAUGUGCACAGUUGGCACACAAACUCUACGACCUCACUACUAAAAGUACAGAGGCCAAGUAAGAGACCUCGCUUGGAGUUGAAGGAGGAAGAGGACAGCCCUUUUGAGGGAAGUUCAACGAUGGACUUUGGAGCGCCACAGGAUGCUACCUAGGAUCCUGAGGACAGCAGAUGUGACAAUGGAAUCUUCCAAGCCUGUUGAUAAGACACCACUGGAGCCGUUUGAGGUGUGCCCUGUGUGUCAGGUGGGUGUCAGAUGCGCGGACAAGAAGGGUUUGGACAUUCCUCUCUCUGGAACAGCAGUGCCCACACUGAGUUGUACAUAAAAUGGAAUAGUCAAUUCUUAUGUAAAGUAGUAUUUAUUGUUACACCAUGUUCUUUAUUGCUCUUAGCUUGACUGUUCUCUCCAUUGUACGUCGCUUUGGACAAAAGCGUCUGCUAAAUGACUAAAUGUAAAUGUAAACGUAGUCAGCCUAUUCUUGGGAGCACUCCUAUUUGGGAACAUCCAAUACUCAGCUGCAGUAUAUGCCACUGGUGCCUCUUUCUCCAAACUUUUUUUACUAAGUUUACUAAGAAAACAACAUAUCAUACAAUGACUUGUGAAAUGACAUAUACAGUAAGAAUCAGUGACAGAACCAGAAUAAGCACAUCUAAACAAUGACAUAAAAGAUUAUACACAAGAGUCUGUUGGACGGGUCAGUUUGGGGAAUGCAAGGUUUGAAGGAAGGGAGACAGUUGGGGUC